rnacentral:lncRNA from 1 species
CUAGCUUCCAAUAACAUUCAGUCCUUAGCUCCAGCUGUAUUCCUUGCUGCCUUGCUAGAUUCUGUUAAUAUGUUACAUUUUAUUGAAUGAGAAAUCUCCAUAAAAGGAGAAGAGGAAACACUCCAUUAAAAGAGGAAAAUAAUACUCUAUAAUAGGAGGAAGAAAACACUCCAUUAAAGGAGGAAAUGAAAAACCUCCAUGAAGGAGGGAUUGGAAGAUAUUACAAUCCAAUGAACUACAAUGCCUACACGUGCAGUAUUUAUAGAGAGAGUGACUAACUAACUAACUAUAACAGCUCGAAAGAGCUAGCUGAUCUGUGUGGAAGGCUGGAGAAUGAAUCUGAUCCGUUGAAUAAGAUGUCUGGGAUCUAGAAUCUGGUUGAGCUAGCAGGAAUAUUCUGGUGUAAUCUGCUGGAAUAUUCUGAUACACCCCCCCCCCCCCCCCCCCCCCCUCCCCCUCAAGAUGGACUAGGGAGAUUGACAAUAGUCCAUCUUGAAGAUUAAGGAAGACAAAAUCUGAUAUAGAUCAAUUGCUGAAUUCAUAAUGUUGUUCAAGCAAAAUGCCAGUAUUCCAUUCCCAGAAAUAAUAACGAAGAGCUUUCUUCUACAUUUUAUCAAACAUCUUGUGUGCAGCUUCACUUACUAAAGAGAAGAGUGAAAAGGAUGUCAAGCAGUAAUCAACGUUGGGGAUUUGUAUCCAGACGAGGAAAAAGAAUUUCUGAUCAACUUGUCAGUUCCGGUGCUUCGAGUUUCUAGUUGAAAUACGUCGACCAAAGUUGUGUCCCCUGCAGAUACCACAGUUAACUUGGAAGUGAAUCGGCAGAGAAAUCGCCUUUAGGCAGCAGAAGGCAUUUCAGAGGCUCAAAGGAUUGUGCAGACUGGAAAUCUAAGUGAUGCACGGGAUCUACUGACAACGAGGAGUCCCCUUCAAAUUUCUUGAUUGUGAAUCCCGAUCUGAUUUCGGGGUUGAGAAAUCAAGUCUUGUAGUCUCGCAAACCAAACAAUUUGAGAAGGCUGUACGUCCAGCUGCUUGGAAGAGUACAGAACUGAAUAAGAAAUUCUGAUCUGAAGCCAAAGUUAUCUUCAGAUUCAAACGAACUUUGAUCCAGUAAAAUGCUAAAGAAAUUGAAAGACGGCAGCAUGAAGCAUUUAUAUGCUCUGAUACCAUGUUAUAUUUUAUUGAAUGAGAAAUCUUCAUAAAAGGAGGAGAGGAAACACUCCAUUAAAAGAGGAAAAUAAUACUCUAUAAUAGGAGGAAGAAAACACUCCAUUAAAGGAGGAAAUGAAAAACCUCCAUGAAGGAGGGAUUGGAAGAUAUUACAAUCCAAUGAACUACAAUGCCUACGCGUGCAGUAUUUAUAGAGAGAAAGUGACUAACUAACAACUACUAACUAACUAACUGUAACAGCUGGAAAGAGCUGGCUGAUCUGUGUGGAAGGCUAG